AGGACGAACGCUGGCGGCGUGCUUAACACAUGCAAGUCGAACGGAGUUACGUAUGAAGUAUUUCGGUACGGACUAUGUAACUUAGUGGCGAACGGGUGAGUAACACGUGGGCAACCUGCCCUUAACCGGGGGAUAACAUUGUGAAAACAGUGCUAAUACCGCAUAACAGAGUAUCGGGCAUCCGAUAUUUUAAAAGGAGCAAUCCGGUUUAGGAUGGGCCCGCGUCCAAUUAGCUAGUUGGUGAGGUAACGGCUCACCAAGGCUACGAUUGGUAGCCGAACUGAGAGGUUGAUCGGCCACAUUGGGACUGAGACACGGCCCAGACUCCUACGGGAGGCAGCAGUGGGGAAUAUUGGGCAAUGGGCGAAAGCCUGACCCAGCGACGCCGCGUGAAGGAUGAAGGUCUUCGGAUUGUAAACUUCUUUGAUCAGGGAAGAAAGAAAUGACGGUACCUGAAGAACAAGCCACGGCUAACUACGUG
rnacentral:rRNA from 1 species